CUCCUGGGGCCAUUCUGAAAAUUAUUAACAAAUGGGUUGGCCAAGUGCCUAAGAGAGAAUGCCUGACAUAUAGAGAGAAUGCCUGACAUAUAGAGAGAAUGCCUGACAUAUAGAGAGAAUGCCUGACAUAUAGUAAGCACUCUAAUAUAUCAUUAUUCUCUGCCUCUUAAUGUUUUCUCCCCCUCCCCAGAUUAUGUAUUAAUCCUUCAGGAAAGGAACAAUGUUUUCAUAUUCCCACUCCCAAUACCAGCAUCUACUGCAUCUUAGAUUUUCAAUAAAUAUUUGUUGAAUAUAAUAGCCAUUAUUUAUUGAGAAAUUAUUACUAUCCUGUGUUCAAUUACUAUGUGAUGCUGAAAUAAACACAGCUUUGUCCUCACAAGGACCCUGCAGGGAGGUGUGUUAAAAGCAUCAGAAAUCUGAAGCUAACAGACACUAGGCAACUUGGUCACCGCUGAUAGUUCCAAAAUUUGGAACCAAAUUGGGCUGAUUCUUUAUACUAAAGCAUGGUGAAUAUGAACAUUGAAGAAAAAAACACGAGUGACCCCCUAUACUCCCUCCCAGACACAGAGGCCAAGUCUCUUGAGUCCCCGCAUCUGGAUUUUGGGGAGUAGGUUCUGAAGCAAACUUAAGUCAGACUUCAUUCAAACCAUGAAAGUUUCUCAUGAAUGAAGACUCUGCUUCCAAUGGGUGUACUUUCCAAAUUGUUGUAGGUAGUGGUCCGCACUGGCCUGCGCCCCUUGGAUUUACCAUGAUCCAGUAUUGCUUUUUUGUCUUGUUCCAUCUCUCCUCCUCUUUGUGUGUCUUUUGACAUCUACAUUGCUAGACAAAGACACUUGUUUCCAUG
rnacentral:lncRNA from 1 species